AUUAUCAAUGUGUUAAUAAUUAUAUAAACCUCUAGGGCGUGUUUGGUUCGCUUCUUUUUCACUCUGGAAUCGGAAUCGGAAUCGGAAUGGAUAAAUCCGUUUGUGGGUGUUUGGUACACGGGAGUUCCAUUCCGAUUACGAUUCCCGAGUGGAAUGGGAAUCCCCCAAUCACCUUUUUUUCAAUCCGGCCUAGGAAGCCGGAUUGAAAGUUGAAUCCGGACGGAAUGGAUAUUUAUUCGGAUUAAAUUUAUUUUUUCAAUUUUUUUAAUUAAAAUAUGAGUUAAAAUUUUAAAAUUAAAUAUAUAAUUUUAAAUUUUAAUUUAAACUUAAAUUAAAAAUUAAAAUUUAAUCAAGUAU
rnacentral:lncRNA from 1 species